AGCUGAGGAGAAGAGGUCAGAGGGGCAGGUGAAGCUUAGGUAAAGAGUCUGUGGGGAAGGGGGUGCAAGAAAGUUGGCACAAACAGCCACUCAAAAUGGUAGAAAGUUCUCUAGAUGUCCAAAGAUCCCUAGUGCCUGCAGAGAAUGGUGAGUCUCCGCUGCACAGUUCUGAGUUCAGGGAGGUGCUGGAGUCAAACAGUCAGUGGGAUUUAGGCCUCUAGGGGCCUCCUCCUUGGCUUCAGAACCUAAACAUCUACACAGCUAUUUUUAGCGCCGCAGCAUGAGUCUGCUUCAUUGGCCCUGGGAUGCUGCGCAGGGUUGGUUGCCCCUCCUCCCACAUAUAGAUGUACCCAAGUCACUUAGAGGCUUUUUAAAAAAAUGUUACCAGUUUAGUUUGAGGUCUAGUUCAAUCUUUUUGCAUAUUGAUCCCCCCCAACCCCCAUCUUUGGUUAGCAGGGGCCACACACUAAAAGCCAUCUAACAGAAUCAUCUUUGCUUUGUGUUAAACUUUCUCAAACCAAAUCCUGGCCUUGUUGAACUUACUGGGAGUCUUGCCAUUAACUUAAAUGGGGUUAGAAUUUCACCCUUUGAUUAGGAUAUAAACCCCCACCAGUAGUUAGGGGGUUAAGGGGAGCUGGAAAGCUCAGUAAGUUCAUCCUGUUGCACCUGGAGGAGGGGCCAGAGCCAAUUUGGGAUGAGACUCAGCUGGGGAGGGUAGGGGCCAGAAGAGGUGGUCCAGUGGAAAAAAUAGAUCGUGGGACCCUUUCCUAUUGGGAAGCUGUUGAAAGGGUAGAGAAAGCUGGGCUGUAAAGGAAAGGAACAUCCCUGAGCAGCAGGUCCUGAAAGAAGGGCAGGACCCAGGAGAGAGCUUUGAAAAGAGAGUUAAAGCCCUGAAAGAGGAAUAUGGUUAGAAAGCUGGGCCUUGGAAGAUGGCUCCGACUAAAGGAAUCACAGAAGUACAUGCAGGAAGGAGCUUGUACCAGAGGAGACUCACAAAGUCUCUCUUCUCCCAGGCCUGCUUUAGGGAAGAAGCCUUGAGACUCAGGAGUAGCUGGGCCUCCUGAGAGAAACCCCUGGGAGGCAGUGCUCUGUGGAGGAGGAGGAAUGCUGCGGAGCCAGGGAGGAGAUUGUGCAGAGAAUUGAAGGAUAGAAGAGUUUAUGUUCCUUUGAGUUUGGAUAUUGUUACCCAGAAGAGGUGGACUUAAAUCAUGACCUGGCUGGAGGGCUGAAUUAGGGGAAGAGAAACCAAUGUGGGACCACAGCAAGCAUAAGCAGGGAAAGCUGCUAUGCCACAACGAUCCAUGAGGUGGCGCACCAGUGUGACAUUUUCUUCUCCCCUCUGCGGGUCUUGGAAAAGAGCAGCAUCCAGAAUGACAGGGCUGCCCAAUAGCUCAGUCCUGCUGCCCUAGGAAUGGAAACUGGCCAUCUUGCUGAGCAGAGGUGCUGCUCUGUGUUACUGGCCCGAGGAGGUGAGAGGGGCAAUGCCUCAAGGGGGAGAAAUGCUGGCUGAGGGGAUUUG